CCUACGGGUGGCAGCAGUGAGGAAUAUUGGUCAAUGGCCGGAAGACUGAACCAGCCAAGCCGCGUGAAGGACGAAGGUGCCAAGCAUUGUAAACUUCUUUUGUCAAGGUACAAACUCAGGCACGAGAGCCUGACCGAGGGUACUUGAACAAAAAGCAUCGGCUAACUCCGUGCCCGCAGCCGCGGUAAUACGGAGGAUGCGAGCUUUAGCCGUAUUUAUUGGGUUAAAGGGGUGCGCAGGCGGACAGUUCAGUCAGCGGUAAAAGCACGGGGCUCAACCCCGGCGAGCCGUUGAAACUGGCUGUCUUGAGAUGUCGAGAGGUAUGCGGAAUGCGCAGUGUAGCGGUGAAAUGCUUAGAUAUUGCGCAGAACUCCGAUUGCGAAGGCAGCAUACCGGCGGCGAUCUGACGCUGAGGCACGAAAGCGUGGGUAUCGAACAGGAUUAGAUACCCUUGUAGUC
rnacentral:rRNA from 1 species